GCUUUGCAAUUCACCCGA
rnacentral:snRNA from 1 species